GAAGAUUAAUACAAGAUGGCAUCAUGAGUCCGCAUGUUCACAUGAUUAAAGGUAUUCCGGUAGACGAUGGGGAUGCGUUCCAUUAGAUAGUAGGCGGGGUAACGGCCCACCUAGUCUUCGAUGGAUAGGGGUUCUGAGAGGAAGGUCCCCCACAUUGGAACUGAGACACGGUCCAAACUCCUACGGGAGGCAGCAGUGAGGAAUAUUGGUCAAUGGGCGCAGGCCUGAACCAGCCAAGUAGCGUGAAGGAUGACUGCCCUAUGGGUUGUAAACUUCUUUUAUAAAGGAAUAAAGUCGGGUAUGUAUACCCGUUUGCAUGUACUUUAUGAAUAAGGAUCGGCUAACUCCGUGCCAGCAGCCGCGGUAAUACGGAGGAUCCGAGCGUUAUCCGGAUUUAUUGGGUUUAAAGGGAGCGUAGAUGGAUGUUUAAGUCAGUUGUGAAAGUUUGCGGCUCAACCGUAAAAUUGCAGUUGAUACUGGAUAUCUUGAGUGCAGUUGAGGCAGGCGGAAUUCGUGGUGUAGCGGUGAAAUGCUUAGAUAUCACGAAGAACUCCGAUUGCGAAGGCAGCCUGCUAAGCUGCAACUGACAUUG
rnacentral:rRNA from 1 species